rnacentral:rRNA from 1 species
GAUGAACGCUGGCGGCGUGCCUAAUACAUGCAAGUCGAGCGAACAGACGAGGAGCUUGCUCCUUCGACGUUAGCGGCGGACGGGUGAGUAACACGUAGGUAACCUACCUAUAAGACUGGGAUAACUUCGGGAAACCGGAGCUAAUACCGGAUAAUAUUUCGAACCGCAUGGUUCGAUAGUGAAAGAUGGCUUUGCUAUCACUUAUAGAUGGACCUGCGCCGUAUUAGCUAGUUGGUAAGGUAACGGCUUACCAAGGCAACGAUACGUAGCCGACCUGAGAGGGUGAUCGGCCACACUGGAACUGAGACACGGUCCAGACUCCUACGGGAGGCAGCAGUAGGGAAUCUUCCGCAAUGGGCGAAAGCCUGACGGAGCAACGCCGCGUGAGUGAUGAAGGUCUUCGGAUCGUAAAACUCUGUUAUUAGGGAAGAACAAUCGUGUAAGUAACUGUGCACGUCUUGACGGUACCUAAUCAGAAAGCCACGGCUAACUACGUG